GAUGAACGCUGGCGGCGUGCUUAACACAUGCAAGUCGAACGGUAAACCUAUUAUUGAAACUUCGGUCGAUUUAAUUUGUUUCUAGUGGCGGACGGGUGAGUAACGCGUGGGUAACCUGCCCUAUACAGGGGGAUAACAACCAGAAAUGGUUGCUAAUACCGCAUAAGCGCACGGGACCGCAUGGUCCAGUGUGAGAAACUCCGGUGGUAUAGGAUGGACCCGCGUUGGAUUGGCUAGUUGGUGGGGUAACGGCCCACCAAGGCAACGAUCCAUAGCCGGCCUGAGAGGGUGAACGGCCACAUUGGGACUGAGACACGGCCCAGACUCCUACGGGAGGCAGCAGUGGGGAAUAUUGCACAAUGGGGGAAACCCUGAUGCAGCGACGCCGCGUGAAGGAAGAAGUAUCUCGGUAUGUAAACUUCCAUCAGCAGGGAAGAUAGUGACGGUACCUGACUAAGAAGCCCCGGCUAACUACGUGCCAGCCGCCGCAGUAACAC
rnacentral:rRNA from 1 species